GACGAACGCUGGCGGCGUGCCUAAUACAUGCAAGUAGAACGCUGAAGAGAGGAGCUUGCUCUUCUUGGAUGAGUUGCGAACGGGUGAGUAACGCGUAGGUAACCUGCCUUGUAGCGGGGGAUAACUAUUGGAAACGAUAGCUAAUACCGCAUAACAAUGGAUGACACAUGUCAUUUAUUUGAAAGGGGCAAUUGCUCCACUACAAGAUGGACCUGCGUUGUAUUAGCUAGUAGGUGAGGUAAUGGCUCACCUAGGCGACGAUACAUAGCCGACCUGAGAGGGUGAUCGGCCACACUGGGACUGAGACACGGCCCAGACUCCUACGGGAGGAAGCAGUAGGGAAUCUUCGGCAAUGGGGGCAACCCUGACCGAGCAACGCCGCGUGAGUGAAGAAGGUUUUCGGAUCGUAAAGCUCUGUUGUAAGUCAAGAACGGGUGUGAGAGUGGAAAGUUCACACUGUGACGGUAGCUGACCAGAAAGGGACGGCUAACUACGUG
rnacentral:rRNA from 1 species